UUGACCUCGGAUCAGGUAGGGAUACCCGCUGAACUUAAGCAUAUCAAUAAGCGGAGGAAAAGAAACCAACAGGGAUUGCCUCAGUAACGGCGAGUGAAGCGGCAACAGCUCAAAUUUGAAAUCUGGCUCUUUCAGGGUCCGAGUUGUAAUUUGUAGAAGAUGCUUUGGGUGUGGCUCCGGUCUAAGUUCCUUGGAACAGGACGUCAUAGAGGGUGAGAAUCCCGUACGUGACUGGUUGCCUCCGCCCGUGUAAAGCUCUUUCGACGAGUCGAGUUGUUUGGGAAUGCAGCUCAAAAUGGGUGGUAAAUUUCAUCUAAAGCUAAAUAUUGGCCAGAGACCGAUAGCGCACAAGUAGAGUGAUCGAAAGAUGAAAAGCACUUUGGAAAGAGAGUUAAACAGUACGUGAAAUUGUUGAAAGGGAAGCGCUUGCAACCAGACUUGCAUGCGGUUGAUCAUCCGAGCUUCUGCCCGGUGCACUCGAUCGUAUUCAGGCCAGCAUCGGUUUUGGUGGGCGGAUAAAGGCCUUGGGAAUGUAGCUUCCUUCGGGGAGUGUUAUAGCCCUCGGUGCAAUGCGCCCUACCGGGACCGAGGACCGCGCUCGGCUAGGAUGCUGCGUA
rnacentral:rRNA from 1 species